AUACAUCCGUCUACGCUUUGUCAUCCCAUUUAGAGGCCAAAAGAAAAGGCUUCUUUAAGAUAGUGAUCAUCUCAUCUCAAGAUUCUUGAUUUUCUAGACACCCUUUUAUUUUCAAAUGACAGAACCCAAAAGCUGCUGUACAAAAGAAUAUUUUGAAGAUGGGUUAUGCUCUUCUGAUGAUAAAGGUGGAAUUUUUGAGGAUGGAGUUGAAGAAAAAGUGAAAAAGAAGAAGGAGAAGAGGAAUCAGCAGAGAAUAAUUAGUGAAGAAAAAGGUGAUAAUUUGAUGAGAGAUCCACUAAUUUUACUUGGUUCAGAUAUAAUGUUGACGAUUUUAAGCUGUCUUGACGCGCGCAGCGUGGCACUUUCUCUCCUUGUGUCACGUGGUUGGUGUGCUGUUGCUUCUUCUGAUAAGAUUUGGAGCUCAAAGGUUGUCCUCUGGCCAUUUUUCUAGUUGGUUUUGGGAGGACGAUAAAUUGUUGAAGAUAAUUGUCUCUUUUGUUGCUCUUAAUUGCUUUAUCAGUGUGAAGAAUUAUGGCAUGACAAAGCACAUUUACCUCGGGUAGCAAAAAUGAUUAGAUUUUCAAAGUUGGCUGCUUACUCAUUGUCGGUAAUGGAUGGUGAACGUAAGCGAGUAACAAAGGAGGAUUUAUGUGAUCAUGCGUGGGAGUUCCAUUUCACCGAGGCAUUAUCCAACCCCAUAUAUGUCAUGCAUGGCUGCAGCUCGCACCAAAUGAGUUAGUAGAACUUGUACGUGCUUGAGAACACUUAAAUCUGUGCAACUGCUGUCCAAACGUCCAAUUUUUUAUGAUCUAGCUUUGCAAGUGGUUGGUAAGAAAUUAAAAUGGUUACUUUCUUUCGUCAUUUCUUUCCACUGCUCAAAAUAUUUACUGCUUUUAUUAAUGUCCCUGGUCAGUUUCAUAGGGCUUCUCUUCCUUCCCCUGCUUUCUGUCAUAGGGUAAGGACAUAAGCAUAAUCAUUAUGUGAAACGCGACUUAAUAGAGACUCCUCAGGAUGCUCCGGAAUAUUGGCGAAUGCUCGACCCCUACUGGAACGGAACAGGACCUCCUUUACGCCGUUAUUUCCUUCCAGAUGGAAGUCAGACUGCUGAACCAGAUGACAAGGUAUGGGGUGGUCAUGAGUCUUGCUACUCCAUAGUAACUAGCUUGCUUGCGGAUGGGAAAAUACGACAACACUAUGUGAGGAUUAACCGUUGGCCACCUAUGUAUGUUACAAGGAAGGAGGAUUGGAGCUGGGAAAUGUCUAACAACUUGUGUAUCUAUAGGAGCAUCCCUGAUGCUGACAAAGAAGAAGGAACAGGACCUUUGUUUCUACAUUACUAGCCUCUGCUUUUGAUUGUAGUAAUAUGUGAAGCAAAACUAUGGAGACACUUGUUUUGUCUUCUGUAAUUUCAAUAAGAGUUUGUGUUUCUUA